GUUUAAUCCUGCCUGGGGGAGACCCCCUCCACCUUCCUAAAUGGAAGGUAUUCCAUUACAUGCUAAAGUGCAGUUUAAGUAGCUGUAAGGAAGUGUGACAGAAAGUCUGUCAGAGUGGGGCUGGACUUGCCAAAACUUGGUGUGAUGUGGGGACUCUGUCAACGUGCUCCUAGGGAAACCUGAGCUGAGCUGAGGCUGGGGCUGGCAGGAUGUUCAAGGUGAGCCCAGGACCUGCCACACUGUGCCAGCCUCGCCCAAGCCACCCCCCAGCCAGGACGCGGUCUUUCCUGACUCAGCAGGCUGAGGCACCUGAGGCUUUCAUUUUAAUUAUGAACCACUUCAAAGCCUUUCUGGAAGCAGUCUCUGCAAUAACCAACCUGGGUUCUCUCCUAAUGUGGGGAUUGUCCUGGAGCCCAGGCCUUCCAAGGCUCCUCCGCCCGCCAACAUCACCUACCUCAUCUUCCUCUUCAGCACAUCCCCAACAUUGUCUAAGCGGUAACUCACCUGAGCAAAGCACUUGACACGGAUUCAUUCAUUUACUCCUCACAACAACCUGAUGAGCACAGAAGUCCACCUACCUUCACUGGGAUCUCAGAAGAAGCAGAAGGAAAUAAGAAGAUCCUGGCCGGGUGCUGUGGUUCCCACCUGUGGUCUCAGCACUGUGGGAGUGCUAUAGUCCUAGCUACUUGGAGGCUGAGGCAGGAGGAUCACUUGAGGCCAGGAGUUCAAGACCAGCCUGGGCAACAUAGUGAGACCCCAUCUUUAUUUAUAAAAAAAACAAAAACCCAAGAAGAUCCAAAGGCAUAAAAAUGGUCCAUUGCACCCAGGACCUCUCCCUGACCGCAGAUCCUUGGCACAAGCUGGCAGCCCUGGUCUUGGUUUUUCCUCUCCCAGCUCCUUGUCCCUGUCUCAGGCCCCUCCUUCUUAAAUGAGACCUUUAUUGCUUUUUUCCUCAUAGUCUCUGCCACUCCUCCCUCUGUCCCUGUCCUCAGGAGCUGUAAAACCAUGCCCCAAAGAGUUAAGGAAGCCAAUGACAGAAAUUCUUUUUUUUUUUUUUUUUUUGAGACGGAGUCUCUCUCUGUCGCCCAGGCUGGAGUGCAGUGGUGCAAUCUUGGCUCACCGCAACCUCCUCCUCCUGGGUUCAAGCAGUUCUCCUGUCUCAGCCUCCCAAGUAGCUAGGACUACAGGUGUGUGCCACCACGCCCGGCUAAUUUUUUUUGUAUUUUUAGUAGACACAGGGUUUUCCUUUGUUGGUCAGGCUGGUCUCGAACUCCUGACCUCAGGUGAUCCACCCGCCUCGGCCUCCCAAAGUGCUGGGAUUAUAGGCAUGAGCCACCGCGCCUGGCUAACAGAAAUUCUUGAGUUUGCAGAAUGGAGGUUAAAAAAAGAAACAACUACCGGCCGGGCGUGGUGGCUCACGCCAUGCCUGUAAUCCUAGCACC
rnacentral:lncRNA from 1 species